rnacentral:snoRNA from 1 species
UGGAGGUGAUGAGCUCUCUUAGCCUGACCUUGUAGAGUGGAGGCAAAAAAAACUGAUUUAAUGAGCCUGAUCC